GUGCUCUCUUCAGCAGCACAUAUACUUAAAUCAGAACGAUACAGAGAAGAUUAGCGUGGCCCCUGCACAAGGAUGACACGCAGAUUUGUGAAGCGUUCCAUAUUUAA